rnacentral:rRNA from 1 species
UCUGGAGACAGGUGCUGCAUGGCUGUCGUCAGCUCGUGUCGUGAGAUGUUGGGUUAAGUCCCGCAACGAGCGCAACCCUUGCCUUUAGUUGCCAGCAGUUCGGCUGGGCACUCUAAAGGGACUGCCGGUGUUAAACCGGAGGAAGGUGGGGAGUGACGUCAAGUCCUCAUGGCCUUUAUGACCAGGGCUACACACGUACUACAAUGGCCGAUACAAAGGGCAGCGACACUGCGAGGUGAAGCCAAUCCUGUAAAAUCGGUCUCAGUCCGGAUUGGAGUCUGCAACUCGACUCCAUGAAGUUGGAAUCGCUAGUAAUCGUGGAUCAGCAUGCCACGGUGAAUACGUUCCCGGGCCUU